rnacentral:lncRNA from 1 species
CAAUCCACGCAUUAAUAAAGUUAAAAAAAGUUCGGAUGAUAAUUUCUUAAAUUCCAGGUUAGGAAAUUCUAGUUCGUAUGUAUGGAAAAGUAUUUGGGCAGCAAAGGACUUAAUGAAAAAAGGGCAUUGUUGGAGGGUGGGGACGGGUACUAAUAUUUGCAUAAGCGAUGCUUGGAUUCCAGAUUCUGUUAAUUUUAGAUUAUCAUCAGAUAUUAAUUUUUUGCGUGAUGUUAAAGUUGGCGAGUUGAUUGAUAAUAAUACCAGAAGUUGGAAAAAAGAGUUGAUUACUAGUACCUUCCUGGAAGACGACGCAGCUAGAAUCCUCAGAAUCCCUCUGGCACAAACACCGCAUGAUGAUUUUCUUAUCUGGGGAGGCGAAAGGUCGGGUGAGUUUACGGUCAGAAGUGUCUAUCAAUUAUUACAAAAAUUGACUGACAAUCCUAGAGCUUAUGCUUUACAGACCAUCUAUGGGAAUUUUUAUAAAAAACUAUGGUGCCUGAAUCUACCAGCUAAAAUUAAGGUUACAAUAUGGAAGCUAUCUUGGAAUUAUCUGCCUACAAAGGUGAAUCUUCAACAUCGGAAGUUAGUAGUAAAUCCGAGCUGUCCCCGAUGUGGAGAAGAAGCUGAAACAAUGAACCACUUAUUUCGUUACUGUCAUGUUACAAGGGAGGUAUGGAGAUCAUUAUCGUUUCAGUGCAUUUUAAGGAAUCAUUGUGAAGAUUUUGUACAGUGGAUUACCUGGGCAAUAGAGCAGCUCAACCUUGAUCAAAGUCGCGUAUUUUGUUGUGCACUCUCGGCAAUAUGGGGCGACAGAAACAAAAGAAUACAUGAAGGUAAAAUUAGAAAGGGGACGGAAGUUGCAAAUCUUAUAAUCAGUUACAUCAAAGAAAUUGAUAGUCUUGAGAAGAGAGAUCUGAACCGUGCCUUAGAGAAAAAGAGAUGGUCGCCACCACAGGAAAGUUUCAUGAAGAUCAACUUUGAUGGCGCAUACGAUAAAGGAAAGAAUCAGUCGGGUGUGGGUAUUGUGGCCAGAGAUUCGAAUGGUACUAUUCUUUUUUCAUACUCAGAGAUUCAUUUUGGUAUUCCAUCAGCCUUUGCUGCUGAAGCAAUUGCCUGCCGGAAAGGCGUUCAAAUGGGAAUCAGGAGGGGAUGGCGACAUUUGAUCCUUGAAGGAGACUCCCUCACAAUAGUCAAAAAAUGUAAAUCGAAGAGUCAAGAUAGAUCUAUGGUGGGAGUAUACAUUUUUGACAUUCAACAGGAAAUCUAUGGACUUGAAAACAUCAGAUUUCAGUAUAUACCUAGAUCCGCAAAUGGUCUUGCUCAUAUCAUAGCAACAGAAUCAUUGAGAAGAGGAGAAGAGUUUUACCUGGAUAGGGGAGUUCCAGAUUAUGCCAUGGAUCAAGCUCGGCUGGAUGGGAGAAGUGAAGAAGAAGUCUCCAGAGAAGAAAAAUGACGAAUGAAAGGCUUUGAACAAGAAAAUGAAACGGACUGAUUUCUUUUGGCUUACCUUGGAAAUGAAAUCGUCAUUAUGAAAGGAGAUGACAGAAAAGACUGAAGACGGUUUCCCACGCUUCUUCUGAUUGGGCAAUGGGUCGGUGCUUUAAUGACCGAUUCUAGAACAUUCAUUAUAAAUAUCUAGAUUUUAUUUUGGUUAAGGCCAUCUGAUUUGGGCCGUGUUGGGUUUUAGG